rnacentral:rRNA from 1 species
UACGGGGGGGGCAAGUGUUCUUCGGAAUGACUGGGCGUCAAGGGCACGUAGGCGGUGAAUCGGGUUGAAAGUGAAAGUCGCCAAAAAGUGGCGGAAUGCUCUCGAAACCCAUUCACUUGAGUGGGACAGAGGAGAGUGGAAUUUCGUGUGUAGGGGUGAAAUCCGUAGAUCUACGAAGGAAGGCCAAAAGCGAAGGCAGCUCUCUGGGUCCCUACCGACGCUGGGGUGCGAAAGCAUGGGGAGCGAACAGG